UUUUUUUUUUUUAAAAAAAGUAGACCUUCUUCCCUGCACUCACAAUGGAAUCUGCUCCUGCACCCACACCUUUAUGCAUGUCCACCAACGAAACGCCUGUAAAUUUUUUUAGAAUAUUCCCAAGGGAACUAUAUAAAAGUCCCUUUUGUGUGUCUGUGUGUGCAUGUGCGUGUGUGCUUUUCUUUUCUUUCUUCUUCUUUUUUUUUUAGUGGGGAGAGGGGCUUGUCAAGCCACAUGUCUUAANNNNNNNNNNNNNNNNNNNNAAAGUACCCUUUUCGUUGUGUCUGUGUGUGCAUGUGCGUGUGUGCCUUUCUUUUCUUUCUUCUCUUUUUUUUUAGUUGGGGAGAGGGGCUUGUCAAGCCACAUGUCUUAACAACAAAUAGACCAAAAUUUCCAGAAUUUUAUCACAUGAAAUUUAACAUGUCAUAUCAAUAAUAAGAAAACAUUUUUCAUAAAACAGAGACAAAUGAUUAAUGCUGUUUGAUCUUAAGCAUGAAACAAGCACGAUGUGACAAUGUGAAAGACCUG
rnacentral:lncRNA from 1 species